GCCCCCCGCUGGCGGGGCACGGCCCUGCCCCGCCGCACCCCAAUAACGGCGGCGGCGUCAAUGUCGCGCCCUGUCGCGAUAGUGGGGCGGGGAGGAGCGGCUGCGAUUCCGCCCGAGGAUAGGAGCGGGCAGAAUGUUAGUGCUUUUUCUUUAGUACCUUGGCGGGGCUCGGAAAGCUCGGAGGCCAGCGUUUUCCUGCUGGACUUUCAGGAUUUCUGUGAUUGCAUCAGGCUGCUCUGUGGGUCUAUGGGAAUAGCUACAUUCCUCUUGUAAGAUUGGAUGUCACUAGAUUGGAAGAUGCUGCCUUCAGUCUUUGUGGCAACAAGAGUUUUCCAUAGCUCUGGCAAUGGCUGGUGAAUCCUUGGUGUGGUUGAAAGCAGCGUACAGAAAAACCCCUUUUUGCAUCCUUUCCCUGGACUCCGGCAGGUGAUCUGGUGACAAAGCCCUAGCUACAUCUGAGAGGACUUUUUUUUUUUUCUCCCAAGAAUUCAUUUAUCUGAGACUUAUUUCUUCUGGUGACAAUUGCAAAAGUUUAAUGAAAAAAUAAUCACUAUUUCCACUUCAAUUAUCGUUGGGUUUAUUUCUUCUGCAUUGUAGCAAUUUUGCAUUUUAAGCCCUUGAUUCAAUAGAAUAAAAUACUGUCUUUGAAAAUAAGAAAGCUGAGUGAUCAAACUAUGGUCAAAUCAUGAUAGGAUGCUUCAAAUGUAACUUUACUAUAUUAAAUGUGCCUUUUGUUUUUUUGGUUUUAUUUUGGGUAUGUUUGUUUUUUUGUUGUGAUUUUUUUUUCGGUUAGCUUUUUUGGAAACCAGCAGAUACCUGGCAACUAUCUCCCACUAAAUGUAAUUUGAGUAAUUUAUUAUAUUUUGUAUAGUAUGUUCAGACUUCCAUUUAGAAACUAUUUAGGUUAGUUUCAACAUUGGUUUUACUUUCUAAGUUAAUGUUACCACAUCAGCCUAGAACCUUACCAGAACAUGAAAAAUCUCAGGUAAUAAACCUCUAUUGUUUUCUACUUAGUUAUGAAAGGAUGGGAAUGAUGGAAUAAUUUGUUACAGGUGUAAAAAUUUCUGUUAUUCACAUGUUACUCAAGAUAUGUGUUGAUUUUGUGACUUCUGGAGAUUUUUGGUUUUUUUCCCCUACUAUUAGACCAAAAUAUUUUUAGCGUGUGCCGAGCCCUAGAUAAGUUUCUGUGUGCAUUGGCAGGUAUCAGUAGUUUCACAUUCUAAAAGCAGUCUUCCUAAAUUGUUAAAAUUAUAAAAAAAGUUGCUUUUUGUAUAUUUUAUAGAUGUUCCACUUUGGAAUAGGUUUUACAUUUUCAGCAUUCCAUAUAUGCUAUGACAGCACAGCUCUGAUAUUGUAAACAUUUUUGGUCAUCCAGUUUUUAUUGAAAAUUUGUAGGUAUUAACAUAUUAAUGUGAUGAGUGUUUUUGUACAAACCAUAUCUUUCAUAAAGCAAAAGGUGAACUUUAGACUUGAGUAGCUGCACCGUGAUCUCUGGGGCUUAGUGUGGGCCCAGACCUAUGCCCAUGGCUGCAGGGCAGAAUCCAGAAUCCAGCCCUGAGCCUCCCUCUUCCAAGCCACCCCUGCAACAAAACCUUGUCAUUGAUAUGACGCCAAAUCCAGCUUAAGCUGAAAAAGAUACAGCUCUAGUCGAGCAAAUGGUGUUCUGUGCCUGUGUGCCCACUCUGACUGUAUUUGCAAAUCUGAUUUGCAGGCUGUGGCAGUGGGUAAUUUGGAGAACUGCAAACAUACAACCACAACUGAAAAGUUCAUCGCCUGCUUGGCAGUUCUACUCUGCCAUGCAGGCAUUGGGGUUUUAUUUCUGACUUUUAUUCUGCAGUGCUGUUACAGAGACCCAGCAUCAGCAGCUGUGACAGAGACAUCUGGGACUGUUCCUGUGCCAGUGUCAAAGCCGAGUUGUCAUGUAUGUUCUGGAUCUUUAGCACGCCUGCCAGGCUCUAAGGCACCCUCAUGCCAUAGAAGUUUUAAAGCACAUAUGACUUGUGCUAUGUCUUAUGUAAAACUUGUGUUGGAAUUCUAAACUGGAAACACUGAGCCCAAAUCUUUACCAUCAGUUCUGCCAGUCUUAAGAGCCCAGCAGUGUCACCGAGCGGAGGUGAAGUAUGAGGAAGCAGGGAGUGUUACAAGGAAAGAGCCAAAGGAAAUCAUCAGGUGUAAUGAGCCUGAUCCUUCAUUUAUGGUGAUGUUUUAUAUUCUGUGCAGGGCAAGGAGUUGCUCUGUAACCAUCACUUUCACUGCUGGGAAGAAACGAUGUUCAAAGAGGUAAGAGGUUUCACAUUGCAAACAACAACGCUCUUCUGUUGGCAUGGUCACACUGAGAAUUUGUUUCCUUUGUGUGCUGGGUGAGUAAAUACCUUCCUGUGGUACCUGUGAGAGGAUCAGUCCCUUCCCUCUGUGCAGGAGCAGGAUAUUAAGCACCAGCCACUGUGCCUUGCCUGAGGUGCUGGCAGGUGGACCCAGGCCAUCAAGGUGUGACCACCUCUGGCUGGUGUCACAAGUUGGUUUUGACUGACAGUCACAAACCCAAAGCUGGUUAUCACUAGUGACUAUACUUAGGAAGAAAAUAAAAGAUGUUUCCCACCAAAGUUUUAUUAAUUUAUCAAAAAUGUAUGUAUUCUUAGUAGCAGAUGGUCAAUAAUAGAUGAUAGAUGGCCUCCUCUGUGUAAAUUAAUGGCUGUAAUUCACUUGAGGGGAUCUGCUGAUGUCAUAAGCUGCCAGAGUGCAGCUUGAGUGAUUUAUUAACAGCUGCAGAAAUCCUAGGCUGAAUGACAUCCUUGUAUUCACUUAGGGUCUGCAGAUUUUUAUUUAUAAAAUGUGUAGGUUUGAAUUUCUUGAUGAUUACAGGGAUCUCUUCUGUGACUUUAGUACAGGGGCACAGUGAAGAAAUGCUGAAUAUAAAAGCUCAGAUAUCUGCCAGUGAUUAAAGGCAGAUUUUCUCCACUGUUGCAUAUCAACACCAUCCCUUUUCUUUAUUUUUUAAAUCAGCUAAUCAAUAUCUGUAGAGGUUUACAAAAGUCCUGUUUGGGUUUUGUUUCCCCCCCACCAUCAAAUAUAAAUGAUGUCCUUAUCUUCAGGUACAGGAACCUCUCUCAGUCUAUGUUGUAGUCACAGCCUCUGCACACUUUGGGCUGUGUCCAGCACAAAAAGCUGGGAGAGGGUUGAGGGCUAAAUGGAGUUCAGCUGUAAGUGUGAUCUCUAAUAAUAACUGGAUUCUACUGUUUAGAAAGAAGGCAACAGACACAGAAGGCUAGAAAAGGUGCCUGGAAACAAAAAGUCUUUGUGUACAGGGAGGAGACUCUCCCUGUUCAGGGAGAAAAACUUCCUUUCUUCCAUAAAAUUCUUGAAUGGUGAAAAUAAAAAUUCUCUGAAUAUGGAUCUCAGAUUUAUUGCACCCUGCUAGCAUAUGAACAAAUGCAAGCAAAUGAAACAAUAUUAAUUUCAAUUCCUUUUUCCUCCUCCCCAAAAAAUUUGAGCUGAUUAGGAUGAUAUUGAAUCCUGUUUCUCAAACAAGGGAUGCAUUUCCAAAAUGUAAUUUGAGUUGUAGAGGAAGGGGAAAAGGGAGAUGAGAAUAAAUUAUGAAGGAUUGCAUGGCAGGAAGGAACAGUCAGAAUUCAUUUGCAAAUAACUAUGCAUAUUACAUUUGCUAAAGAUGCAGAAUUUCUUAAGAGAACUCAAAACAAAUGUUUGGAUGCCAGUUUGAGCCCAGUGAAAAUCCUUCUAGUUUUCUGUCUUUUCUCUUCUCUGAAUUAGUUUUGUUUGUUGAUAGAUUCCCCCAGUCCUUGGAAGAGCGCUGCAGUUACUGUUCUCAGCAAGGAAUGCUGAUUUGUUAUGGACCAAACACUGCUUUGCUCCUGCUUUCCUUCACCAAUGUCCAUCUGACCUGUCUCUGUGUAAGAGUGUCAUGGACAAAGCCCGAUCACAUCAGAGACCCACAAUGUUAGAUAUUAUACAGAUGCACAGAAAGCCUUUUCCUCCCUGCAAAGACAGGCAAAUCAGUGCAAGACUACAGAGGCCCAAGGAGUUAUGAUACAGAGUGUUAUUCUCCAUUCCUGAUUAUUCUGCAAGUUCUGAGACAAUUUGUUCCACAAACAACAGCAAGAUGCCUGAUGCUCUCAGUUCCCCAAGUCCUCUAAAAUGGAGACAAAGCAGAGGUAGUUGUUACAGCUGACCUAAUCCUGAGUGGCCACCAGAAGAAACAGUAGACUGCUUAUUAUCUCUCAUGAUUGCUGAAUCCAGAGAGAUGGUAUUUGCAGCUCUCUUACUGAACAGUCUCCAACCAUGUGAACAGCAGUGGGAAUCUGUGUGUCAAGUGAUGGAACAAAACCAUGGAUUUCAACUUGCAAAGCUCUCUCUGCGACUGAAGUAUGGAAAAAAAAAAAUUGGUUACUGCCAUGGAUGUACAUGGAGGAGGCUUGAUGCCUGUAUUCUAAGGCAAGUGAGAAAUUACCAACACAUCUGGACUGGGCUUUGCCUUGGCAACAAGGUGGGGAAGAAAAGAGUUAAACGGCAGGAUCACCUGAUCCGCUUUUCACCUCCCGAGGCUGUUCCUUAGAAUGAGAAAUACUUUCCUGUCCGCUUUUGAAAGAAACAACUUCAAAACCUUUGUGGCCGGGAUGGCAUCAUCUCUGCACAGCCUGGGUUCAGCUGGACCGAGGUGCAGCCACCGUCAGCAAGACAAAAGCAGAGAUAUUGUAAACGGGAACGAACCCAAAGAAUUAAGGGGACCGAGCAGCAUCUGAUGAGAGCUGAAAGCAAAACCCGGCUGGUGUUUCCGAGCACUGUAUGGUCACCUUCGCUGCAAGUGACCGAUUUCAUCGCAGGAUGCCAGGAGGUGAGGACAGGACCAGAAGGUCCGGUAUCAGUCACAGCACAGCUCCUGGCCAAUUACAGGAGGGGAAGCGACAUAAAUGGAGAUUUUCCUUCCCCCUCCGGCAGAAUUUUGCAGAGAUUGGAAGUGGAGGGAAGGAGUUAAUCUCUGUGCAGUCAGACUGUGCCUCCUCCCCGCAAUUUUCUCCUCAACUCCUCUGUUGUUGCUGCACUGUAGUGCUCGGGCUGAGCUGCCGAUGGAGCAGCUCCCUGAUUGCACUGCCCAGUCACGAACACCACCUGCUCCAAAACUCAGGCGAAUUAUUUUUUAAAU